UUCAGGCAUUGUAGUACUAUGUUUUGGUUCUUAACUUCUUAGCAAAUAUGUCCAGUGAAAAGCAAAAUCUCAAGGCAGGGCAAUCCCACGGCCAGGGCCAGGAGAAGGCUGAAGAGUGGAUACAAUCCACAAAGGA